rnacentral:lncRNA from 1 species
GUUCUAUUCCCAGGGAUACUGAUGUUAUUUCCUGGUUGCAGAAAUGGCUAGAGAGGCCCAGCAUUGGGCUUGCCUCCCACACACUGCCUUUCUGGGCCUCUACUUCUGGAGCCAAGCCACCUGCCAAGAGGAACCGAGAAUCUCCAGCUGUAGCAUCAGCAGGAACUGUUAACACUAUAAUGGCAAAGGGAAAGCCUGGGUGCCCCAACAGCAAUACCAUAUUGGGGCCCAGAGCCACUGAGAACUCAGCCCCCAGCUCUUGAGUACUUAGGGUGUGUUCAGGCCAGUUCGUCGUCAUAUGGUGUUCACUGCCAGGAAUGAGCUUUCUGUUCCCCUAGAAACCUCAAGUUGCUUUGGCUCUGUCAUCAAGGGUGCAUAACUUGCCGGUUUGAGGAACAACAACAACAACCUCAAAAAAAAACAAACAAAAAAAAAACCACAGAAGCCAGUGAAGCCUCUGGUCCCAGUUGAUGGAGAGGGGAGAGUAGGUGGUGAGGGAGUUCUGAGAGCAGCCCUUUCCACGUCUGUAGAGGCUGCCAGGAUAUUUGCAGUUUAGCAGUGUUCAUUCUGCUUCUAGGUGGGGAACCAAAGCCCAAAGUGAUCAUUGGCGGAGGGAGACUGAAGACUUCCUGCCAGAGCCUGUGGGCAGGCUCCAGGGAAGCUUCAUGUUUGACUAUUUCCAUUACUCAAUAUGAGCCUGAAAGGAAGUAAGGGAACAGCUGGAAAGAAGCAUUAACUGGAAAUUUUUUUCACUGAACUUUAUAUACUGUCUUAGUUACUUUUCUAGUAUUUGAUAAGACACCAUGACCAAGGCAAACUUAUAGAAAAACUUGUUUAAUUUGGGGCUCACAGUUUCAGAGGGUUAGAGUCUAUGACUAUCAUGGCGGGGAGCAUAGUAGUGAUAGAUAGGAGAUGGCACUAGAGUUGAAAAGACACUAGGAAUGGUGCUAGUCUUUUAAAACCUCAAAGCCCACCCCACCCCCCACCUCACCCCACCCUGUGAUACCUAUCCAAAAGGCCGUGCCUCCUAACCCUCCAGGGAGAGUUCCACCAGCUGGGGACCAAGUAAGUAUUUAAACAUGAACCUACUGGGGAGUUAUUCCUCAAACCACUGAAGAGUCAAGCACCAAAACAAAGUGACCAGCAGGGAUCACUUCUGAUACCACUAAAUCCAUCCUCCUUUUUGUAACUAAUGAGCAGGUGUGAGCAAGGCUUAUAUUUGGAUAGCAAGUAUCAUCUGUACGUCAUGGCUUGAGGUGCUGCACUCUGAAUGCAUCUCUGACUAGCAGGAUUACUGUUGACUUGAGGUCUUUUAGUUUAAAUAGAGUUUCCUGCUCUCUAAGGGAUUCUCUGGCAAGCACAUAACGGACCCCAAAUCCACAUAGCAACAAGUCCUCUGGUUCCUUCACAAAACAACAGCAAAUUUUGUUUUCUAAAAGGUUUUAUUUUGUUUUGUUUUGUUUUUUUCCAACGGGGGGGGGGGGGGACAUUUACGUUAGUAGCAACAGCGACUCUAUCAGCCUACAAGGGUUUUUAUUGUUCUUUUGCUUGUUUUAAGAUUGAAUACAUUCCUGUCCCCUGGGUUGAAUAGCUCUUGGGUUGGCACCAUGUUUUGACAACAUGCCUGGAAGAAUAUUUGUGACAAUGAGAAGCAGAAGUAGUCAUGCAUAAAAUUUGUCUGUCUUAAACAUGAAGCUUUGUAAGUUGUCCCCAGAUGUUAACUGAAAAUGCCUUAGUGUCAGUGCAGUCCCAGACUAGCAUUAUUCUGGAUCCACCUCCAUGAUAAAAGUGGUAUUAGUUCAGAGAUGAAUGAGAAUUUUGGCCACUUGACUAUGCAUGCUCAUAUAUACGCUGAACAGGGCCUCAAGAGGGGGCCAGCUUGCAGAGAAUCCUGCCAAACAGUGUUUUCAUAUUGGCAGCACAUGUUAGAAGACUAGGAAACCUGGUGAGCUCUUGGAGGGUAUAGUUUCUGCAUGAAGACAGUUUCCAGAUCUUAGUACUGUACAAAGCCAACUUGGAAUCCAUGGCUGGGGGUGUGGGGAGAGCUACUGUGGCUGAGGUUCUAGAGACGAGACAAGCUAAGAGCCACCAAAGCCUUCGGCUGUCAUGUUUCAUGAGUCCAGGCACUGGGUCACCAGAAAACAGCAAGGCUUUCUCAGCAUUUCUUGUAGGCUGAGUAGGAAGACACUACAAUGAGAUGUCUCAUGUGUAAUGGUGUAUGGAAGACUGAUGACAAGGACGCAGUAAACAAGUUCCCAGUCAAGCCACUAGGAGCAAGUCAGUGCAGUCAGGCAGGGGAGUUGUUGGCUUGUCAGGAUUGUUUGUCCGGUGCCCAUGUUUGGGUGCACAGCAAAUCAUCCCUUCACUUUGGCUACUUGACUAGUAAACACAGGUUGCUUUCUGGCACUG